rnacentral:rRNA from 1 species
AUUGAACGCUGGCGGCAGGCUUAACACAUGCAAGUCGAGCGGGGGAAGGUAGCUUGCUACCGGACCUAGCGGCGGACGGGUGAGUAAUGCUUAGGAAUUUGCCUAUUAGUGGGGGACAACAUCUCGAAAGGGAUGCUAAUACCGCAUACGUCCUACGGGAGAAAGCAGGGGAUCUUCGGACCUUGCGCUAAUAGAUGAGCCUAAGUCGGAUUAGCUAGUUGGUGGGUAAAGGCCUACCAAGGCGACGAUCUGUAGCGGGUCUGAGAGGAUGAUCCGCCACACUGGGACUGAGACACGGCCCAGACUCCUACGGGAGGUAGCAGUGGGGAAUAUUGGACAAUGGGGGGAACCCUGAUCCGGCCAUGCCGCGUGUGUGAAGAAGGCCUUAUGGUUGUAAAGCACUAUAAGCGAGGAGGAGGCUACUUUAGUUAAUACCUAGAGAUAGUGGACGUUACUCGCAGAAUAAGCACCGGCUAACUCUGUGCCAGCCGCCGCCGUAA